UUACGGGAGGCAGCAGUGAGGAAUAUUGGUCAAUGGAGGCAACUCUGAACCAGCCAUGCCGCGUGAAGGAUGAAGGUCCUCUGGAUUGUAAACUUCUUUUAUAGAAGAAGAAACCCACGUUUUCUAAUGUGGUUGACGGUACUCUAUGAAUAAGCACCGGCUAACUCCGUGCCAGCAGCCGCGGUAAUACGGAGGGUGCAAGCGUUAUCCGGAUUCACUGGGUUUAAAGGGAGCGUAGGUGGGUUGGUAAGUCAGUGGUGAAAUCUCCGAGCUUAACUUGGAAACUGCCAUUGAUACUACCAGUCUUGAAUACUGUGGAGGUAAGCGGAAUAUGUCAUGUAGCGGUGAAAUGCUUAGAUAUGACAUAGAACACCGAUAGCGAAGGCAGCUUACUACGCAGUUAUUGACACUGAGGCUCGAAAGCGUGGGGAUCAAACAGGAUUAGAUACCCCGGUAGC
rnacentral:rRNA from 1 species